GGUAAAUGUUCAACACGUGUUUUUUUCAAACAGAGACACAAGUUAAACGAGCUUGCGUUCUGGAGAUGGCUCAUGAAGAAUCUCUCAAACACAGCUCCUUAUAUGAAUCCUCUGAUCCAUUUCCUGCCCGGCUGCCCUUCAGCAGGAAGAAGCGUGUGGAGUGUAAGGCCUAGAUUACCAACUUCACGAUGAAGAACACAACCUGUCCGGGGGUAACUGUACAGCCAGGCCUCCUACAACUACUUGGUCAACAAGGAGCUGACCUGUGCAACGAGAGGUCCAUCCCUUGGUUGGUGAGCGGUGAGCCAUCAGGGUCGGAGACGUUCACGUUAAGCACAACCUUUUAGACGAAGACACUGCAAACCACCAACCAUCUCAAACAAUCAAAAGAAGUGCUGCUCGGACAAGUUUCUAAACACAAACUGGACACAGUGCGGAGUAGCUUUGUUUUUUAUUUGUUAACAUAAUUAGUGGUAGUAAAGCGCACGCUAGCAGAAAAUGCAUCACAACCAAGUGGUUGUGGAAGUGCAAAAGACCAAGUGCUUAAACAAACCAGUGCUUCAGUCAGCCAAUGAGAUGAGGUGGAAGAGGGGAGUGCCCUCAGUGCUGGUGAGCAUUGGGGGAGCGUGGGGUUGGGGCGUUAAAGCCUCAACGCCUCACAGUAAAUAUGAACCUUUUUUGUAUUUGAUCUGCAGGUUUCAGGCCGGGCCAGAGGAAGGUGUGUCUCAGGAGGAAUGACAAGCAUGAGGUGAAGUUGUCAACAUGCGACCAUCAGGACGGAGACAGGAAGAAGGGCAGGUCCACGACGGUGAAGCAGCCCAACGGCAAGUAGGGCUGGGAGUGAAACAACAAUAGUUGUUGUUAAUGCAGCAUCGUCGAUUAACCAGGAACAUACAGGUGUCAAAUACCCAUAGAAAACACUCCAUGGCUUGCUCUGCCCCUGUUAUAAAUACAGCUGCUGUAUGUAUGUAGCAUAGAAUACGGUCUCCCCCCAUCGGAUGCUGGUUUUUCCAAGAACAGGAGACCAUGGAUGCAGUGCACAAAAACAAUGUUGUUUGCUGGUUCUGAGGCAGCAUGGACAGAUAAAACCCUGUUUCUGUAUUUUUACACAAUGUUGUUAGAAUUGUAUGAUUUAUCAUUCAGAUCUUUCUUUAUAGGGCCCUUAUGCAGACUUAAAGGGCAUGUACAAAUAUGUUGAUAUCGACACAGUAUUGGGGGGCUUUACUGUAAUAAAGUACUUUUGCUGAGCUUAAA